CUACCAAGACAGUGACGGUUGACGGAGAAUGAGGGUUUGAUUCCGGAGAGGGAGCCUGAGAGAUGGCUCCCACGUCCAAGGACGGCAGCAGGCGCGGAAAUUGGUCCAAUAGUGGAUACUGAACCAGUUAUGAGACGUGAAGAAAGCAAAGUGUAAAUGGCUUUAAGGUAAUUGGAGGGCAAGUUCGGUGCCAGCAGCCGCGGUAAUACCGACUCCAAGAGUUUCUAUGAUGGAUGCUGCAGUUAAAAAGUCCGUAGUCGAUUAGUGGAGCGGAUAGGGAACAUGGUAUGCUUGGGCGAGAGAUGAAAUUUCAAGACCCCAAGUGGACUGACAGAGGCGAAAGCGGUGUUCUUAUACGAGUCUUGAGAUCAAGGACGAAGGCUGGAGUAUCGAAAGUGAUUAGAUACCGCUGUAGUUCCAGCAGUAAAAGAUGCC
rnacentral:rRNA from 1 species